rnacentral:lncRNA from 1 species
GUAGAUCUAAAAAGAUAAGCCUUUAUUUAUCAUUAAACAUUUAAAAUAAUGGUAGACAAUUGGAACUAAUAACCUACGGAGAGGAGGAACGGGCAAUAAAAGGUUGCAGAAUUCCUUAUAAGUUUAGGAUAUUAGAAUAGAUUUUUACUUGGAAUCGUCAAGAAUUCACCUAUAAAAAAUCCUCUGUAAUAAUUCAUAACGCGGUAUCCAGAUUCUGCUCAAGACGCAACUCCAGUUUCUUUAUCUUCAGGGAACAAAAAUUCCUUCGAUCUUGAAAUUCACAAGGAAAAAAUGCAACACCAAACCGAUUCAACCUCUCCCUAUUACCAAUACUAUCAAAC